rnacentral:lncRNA from 1 species
UUUAUAGACCCUGUCAAGAGAUAAGCUGCCUUUGUCUAAGCCUUGAAGCACUGCACCGCUGCAGUGCUGUUGAAGUCAGUUUGAAACUGGCUUUGUUUCCUUAUAGGAUGCCCUAAGCAUCUGUCUGCUGGCCCCAUCUCUAGAGAAUAUGAAAGAAUUCUUCCACUGCAAUAUGUAGAAAUGAUUUUGGCAAGUGACAAGCACUGCCUGUUAGUUGAGAUGAUAAACUAUAAUUACUACCUUCUUGAUAGCUGUGGCCAGGCGGAGUUUUUGCUGCUACUUUUAAAAUAGUAGAACUCUUGUCUUAGACAUAUGUCUGUGAAUGUUGUUCCUUAAGUCUGUAGUGAUUGACGUGAUUGCUAUAAAACUGUAGUCAGUUCAGAAUUACCCUUGAGCAGAUUAUCACAUUGCAAUUGGCCCAAUAUUGCUUUCAAAUUCUAACUGACAUUUUCAUAUACUUGGAGCAUUAAGUACUUUGUUGACAUAAAUAAAACCUUUACUUACUAUCU